AAGAGAACUUGCCCUUCGGGGUAGAUCUCCCACCCUUUGUUUAUAUACCUUUGUUGCUUUGGCAGGCCCGCCCUCGGGCCGCCGGCUUAGGCUGGUCAGCGCCUGCCAGAGGACCCAAAACUCAUAUUAUCAUUGUCGUCUGAGUACUAUAUAAUAGUUA
rnacentral:misc_RNA from 1 species